rnacentral:rRNA from 1 species
UUGACCUCAAAUCAGGUAAGACUACCCGCUGAACUUAAGCAUAUCAAUAAGCGGAGGAAAAGAAACUAACAAGGAUUCCCCUAGUAACUGCGAGUGAAGCGGGAAAAGCUCAAAUUUAAAAUCUGUUGGCAUUGGCCAACUGAGUUGUAAUCUAGAGAAGUGUUACCCGUGCUGGACCGUGUACAAGUCUCCUGGAAUGGGGCAUCACAGAGGGUGAGAAUCCCGUCUUUGACAUGGACUACCAGUGCUUUUGUGGUAUGCUCUCAAAGAGUCGAGUUGUUUGGGAAUGCAGCUCAAAAUGGGUGGUAAAUGCCAUCUAAAGCUAAAUAUUGGCGAGAGACCGAUAGCGAACAAGUACCGUGAGGGAAAGAUGAAAAGAACUUUGGAAAGAGAGUUAAACAGUACGUGAAAUUGCUGAAAGGGAAACGCUUGAAGUCAGUCGCAUUGAUUUGGAAUCAACCCUGCUUUUGCUGGGUGUACUUCCUUGUCAAUGGGUCAGCAUCAAUUUUGACUGUUGGAUAAAGUUGUUGGGAAUGUGGCAUCUUUGGAUGUGUUAUAGCCCAAUGAUGCAUACAGCAGUUGGGAUUGAGGAACUCAGCACGCUGAAAGGCCGGGUUUCGACCACGUCCGUGCUUAGGAUGCUGGCAUAAUGGCUUUAAUCGACCCGUCUUGAAACACGGACCAAGGAGUCUAACAUGCCUGCGAGUGUUUGGGUGGAAAACCCAUGCGCGCAAUGAAAGUGAAAGUUGAGAUCCCUUUGGGGAGCAUCGACGCCCGGACCAGACCUUUUGUGACGGAUCCGCGGUAGAGCAUGUAUGUUGGGACCCGACAGAUGGUGAACUAUGCCUGAAUAGGGUGAAGCCAGAGGAAACUCUGGUGGAGGCUCGUAGCGAUUCUGACGUGCAAAUCGAUCGUCAAAUUUGGGUAUAGGGGCGAAAGACUAAUCGAACCAUCUAGU